rnacentral:rRNA from 1 species
AAUAGAUACCCUGGUAGUCCACGCCGUAAACGAUGAGUGCUAAGUGUUAGAGGGUUUCCGCCCUUUAGUGCUGCAGCUAACGCAUUAAGCACUCCGCCUGGGGAGUACGGCCGCAAGGCUGAAACUCAAAGGAAUUGACGGGGGCCCGCACAAGCGGUGGAGCAUGUGGUUUAAUUCGAAGCAACGCGAAGAACCUUACCAGGUCUUGACAUCCUCUGCCAACCCUAGAGAUAGGGCGUUCCCCCUUCGGGGGGACAGAGUGACAGGUGGUGCAUGGUUGUCGUCAGCUCGUGUCGUGAGAUGUUGGGUUAAGUCCCGCAACGAGCGCAACCCUUGAUCUUAGUUGCCAGCAUUCAGUUGGGCACUCUAAGGUGACUGCCGGUGACAAACCGGAGGAAGGUGGGGAUGACGUCAAAUCAUCAUGCCCCUUAUGACCUGGGCUACACACGUGCUACAAUGGAUGGUACAAAGAGCUGCGAACCCGCGAGGGUAAGCCAAUCUCAUAAAGCCAUUCUCAGUUCGGAUUGUAGG